CCUAGGUUGUGAUGCCUAGCAAUUCCUGGAAAUGGAACAUUUAAUCGAAUGUCAGACCUCUCCUCAGGAAAAGACAAGCGUUUGUUUGCAGUGUAAGAGCAAUCUUACCUUUGAACACCAGCUGCCUUUAAGGAACCAUGGACAGUCUGACUGAGCCGCUUCUGAACAGUUUGGAAUGGCAGAAAUCGAUAGUCCUGUCGGCUAACGUUUGAUCCAGCAACCUCUUAAUGGGUUAAAGUGGGAAAAGUCUUGAGCUCUUGAUGCUUGUUUAUGUUGGCUCUCCAGUCGUAAUGCAAGGUAAUUUUCUCUGUACUGAAAGUUUCUCUUUACUGUUCACCUCAUCAAAUGCUUUCUAAGCACAGUUUACUUGAAAUGUUCAUCUUUAAAUUGACUACUACUGCUCAUGUUGGCCAAACAAAUCAUUUUAACAAGCUCAAAUUCUGUCGGGGCUCUCCAGACGUCUACCUCAGACAAUACUCCAGUGUUUUGUUCUGCAAGACAAGCAUGUCUUCCCCGGUUCCUCGCUCGGAGGAACGUACAUGCUAAUUUGGAGCUGUCCGGCCCCUAUCUCUUAGCACAGACUUUGUCUGUUAACUGCCAUGGUAAUUUUCAUCGUGCUCUUGAGUAGAUCUGUUUGAAUGUGUUUAUGCUAGCGGAGCUUUCCAUAAAUUCUGCUUUUUCUAAUCCUCGCUGUGUUUGGCACUGUGUAUGUGUUGCUGUCAGUGUAUAUCACUGUAGCUUCCAUCUCUUGCUCAUCUCCACCCCCCUCCAGCACACAUAGGAUUCGAGCCCGUCAUUCUGACCAAUUACCGCCGCUGACAGUGUGUCCGUCCCCCCACAGAGCCGCCACUGGUUGCCGACUGGCUAACAGGACUAAUGCCUUAUUGCAUUAGAGACAAAUCAGUCCUCGGCACAGAUUUUAAUAAGCAUUAGCCACUGCUCAAGUGCCAUCGAGCAAUUGGAAAUGGGUGCACGUGGGUAGGAGGUUGACCGGUUUGUAUGCAGGCUUCACUGUAAUGAGAAAUCGCAAAAGCAGAUAAUGGAAAUAUUGAAUUCAUUUCCCAGACAGAUGCUUUGGGGGUAAAGAAAACUACUCUCAAGGAGAAGGAAAUGUUCAAACCCACUGCAAGCACUUAAAUGGUCUUUGUUUACACGGUCAUAUCUGUUUGCGUCAGGCAUGCGUGGCCUACAGCUGCUGGGGGAAUGCCUCUGGGGUAAUGUGCAAGGCAUGUGUGGCGGUCUGAAACUGGGGGAUUGUGGCUUGGCAGCUCUUUACUCUUAACACACAUCGUGCAUGCUGAAAA